AAACUUUCAACAACGGAUCUCUUGGCUCUGGCAUCGAUGAAGAACGCAGCGAAACGCGAUAAGUAAUGUGAAUUGCAGAAUUUAGUGAAUCAUCGAAUCUUUGAACGCACAUUGCGCCCGCCAGUAUUCUGGCGGGCAUGCCUGUCCGAGCGUCACUA
rnacentral:rRNA from 1 species